CAGCCGCCGCGGUAAUACGAAGGGGGCUAGCGUUGCUCGGAAUGACUGGGCGUAAAGGGCGCGUAGGCGGCGAUCAAAAUCAGGCGUGAAAUUCCUGGGCUCAACCUGGGGGCUGCGCUUGAUACUUGGUUGCUUGAGUGGGGAAGAGGGUCGUGGAAUUCCCAGUGUAGAGGUGAAAUUCGUAGAUAUUGGGAAGAACACCGGUGGCGAAGGCGGCGACCUGGUCCUUGACUGACGCUGAGGCGCGAAAGCGUGGGGAGCAAACAGGAUUAGAUACCCCAGUAGUCCCUGUCUCUUAUAC
rnacentral:rRNA from 1 species